rnacentral:rRNA from 1 species
UUGAACGCUGGCGGCAUGCCUUACACAUGCAAGUCGAACGGCAGCGCGGGAGCAAUCCUGGCGGCGAGUGGCGAACGGGUGAGUAAUACAUCGGAACGUGCCCAAUCGUGGGGGAUAACGCAGCGAAAGCUGUGCUAAUACCGCAUACGAUCUACGGAUGAAAGCAGGGGACCGCAAGGCCUUGCGCGAGUGGAGCGGCCGAUGGCAGAUUAGGUAGUUGGUGGGGUAAAGGCUCACCAAGCCGACGAUCUGUAGCUGGUCUGAGAGGACGACCAGCCACACUGGGACUGAGACACGGCCCAGACUCCUACGGGAGGCAGCAGUGGGGAAUUUUGGACAAUGGGCGAAAGCCUGAUCCAGCCAUGCCGCGUGCAGGAUGAAGGCCUUCGGGUUGUAAACUGCUUUUGUACGGAACGAAAAGCCUCUUUCUAAUAAAGAGGGGUCAUGACGGUACCGUAAGAAUAAGCACCGGCUAACUACGU